AUGGCCAUGGCCGCACGCCCACGCGGCUCGCCGCUCCUCCGCGCCCUCGCCGGCACGAGGGGGCCGCCGCGGGCCCGAUCCAUCCACGAGGGGCCCGACACCAUCGACGAGCUCCUGGACCGCCACCUCUCCAAGAAGUCCCCCGCCCUCGACGACGACGCGGCGGAGGCCCUGGCGCGGCGGCGGCUGACGAGCUCGCGGCGGGAGGCGCUGGGGCUGUACCGGGACAUCCUGCGGGCGACGCGGCUGUUCGAGUGGCCCGACGAGCGCGGCGUGCCGUGGCGCGACACGCUGCGCGCCAACGCGCGCCGCGAGUUCGAGGAGGCCCGCGGCGAGCGCGACCCGGAGGUGGUCGCGCGGCUCCUCAUCGGCGGCCGCGACGCCGUCGACCAGGCCCUGGAGCGCGUCGCCGACGCCUCGCGCCGCAUGGUCCAGGCCGAGGAGGCCAAGCGCCGCGGCGGGGCGUAG
rnacentral:rRNA from 1 species